AGACGUCUUCUGAGACACGUGUUGUGUUUUAGUUGUUCUUCUCCUUCUCUUCUUCGCCUUCAAUUUCUCCUUCUCUUCUUCGCCUCAUCUUUUCCUUAUCUUUUUUCUGCUGCUUCGCUAUUCAUCUCUAUUUCGUGGAUCGAAAAACUAAAGCGAAUGGACAAAGGCAAAGCAGUGAUGGGUACUGGCCGGAGAUGGGCCGUCGAUUUCUCCGAUCAAUCCACCAUUCUAUCUUCCCGCGACAUUCUCGAUCCCCCUGACUUCAUAUGUGUAUAUCCUCCGCCUCUUCGAGACUGUCUCUGAUGUCUGCGUCGUUGAGGUUAACGAGACCGGGACACGAUUGAAGUACAAGCCUGGAAUUAUAAUGGGAGGGAAGAACUUGGUUCACAAUUGUGUCCUGUAAAUCCAUCAAACGCUAGAGUUGGCGGAACGGUUCGUGUUCAAGGCUCUGAGUUUUGGCAUAUGCCUAAAGUUCUAAGAUUGAAAGCUGAAGACAGUGAUCAGGUUACAGAGCAAGGGAGAAUUGAGGUUUGAGAAGCACAACAGAACAAGAAGGAACCUAGUCAUCCUCUGUAACUGCAGCCAUGGCGCUUAACCCUAAGUUGAUGCCGAACGGGAUGUCUGUUCCCUUUGCUAAUGAAAUGUUUGUUCUUGUCCGAGAUGGGGUUGAGUUUGGGUUGGAGUGAAUCCAUCCCGUUUUUCCUCUGUUUCCGGCCAUGCAUCGGCUCUGUCGGUGGUGGUUCGGCGUCUGUGUCUGGGGCUGUACCGGUUCUUCCUUGGUAGUGGUCACCAGCUUUCGAAUCUCAUGGAAGUGUGUGAGCUGUGUUCAAGUUGUGCUUUGUGGAGGAAGGUGGCCGAAUUCGGGUGUGAGAUUGGCGGAGGCGCUGAAAGCUCCCUGAAGGUCGGGCCGUUGUGUGUAGACUCCGAUUCCUUUCCCUCUGAUAUUGUCGUCGGAGGUGGAAUUCGGUGGUCGUGAUGAGUGUCCCGGUGGUUCCGGUGAUUGAGUUCGUUCUUAUACAGCGGUGACUUCUGCAUGAGAAAGGAAGUGGUGAUUCACGACUCCGGCGAGGUUCCGGGUUUCGGCUCCGGCGGCGGCCUCCGGCUCUGCGAGAUGACGAAGCUCCCACCUUUGACAUGCAUCCCUGUGGUUGGUGUAGAGUCAACACGUGGGUCGUGGGUUGGCGGUGAUUUUCUUUGGGCCUCGUUUCUUUAUCUCUUUGGGUUUGGUGGUGGGCUUGCGCGGGCUUGUGUAAUAGUAUUAGUUUUUGUACUUUCUGUUUGGACCGUGUUUCGGGCUCUGUACUGUUUCUUCCUGUUAAUAAUAAUUACUUCAGAUGGCAAAAAAAAGUGGAUA